UGAGAUCCCGAGCGAGCUGAAACCAUUAGGUUGCCUGGAACCUGCAAAGAUCAUAGAAACGUUACUUGAAAAGGCAAACAGACAGAGCAAGAGCAAUUCUCCCAUUCAAAUGCUUACCUUCUUUACACGUAUGUAUCCUUCAAUUCGACAUCCUCCUGUAGAAGGUGCCUUUUUUAAAGUUUUGGAUGCAUUAUCUGAUUUGUCCUCUAAUGCUAGUUUAUGAGGCUCUAGAUGGAUUGGUUCAACCAGACCUAUCACCAUCUGUAGGAGAACGCAAGAAAUAAGCUACAAAUGAAGCACAAAAACAAACUCUUCUCUAACUUGUAUAAGGGGUACGAAAAAGAUGCUGAAAAGAGACCUAGAACAAUAACUACCUUCACUAAGCUUUCUGUAUCACGAUCUCCAUAGUACGAUUCAUGAUCAUGGUGUGCAUUGUCCCUAUUAAGCAAAGAAUCAACAAGAGGAGGAAACAGAGGUUAUAAGAAUCGAGCAAGUGACGGUGAGGCAUAAUUUAAACAAGUAAACUAGGAGUUACAUUCUCUUACCUAAGAUCACUGCCUUGACGGAAAAUGCGAAUGGAUGGAUACCCUUGAAUGUGAUUCCUGGAGAUCAUUUGCAAAGGAAAAUUGUGAGAAUAAGUUAAACUGCUGACAGAGGAUUCAAGAGAAUGCCUUAUGCUAUAGCAAAUGAAGAAGUCAAGAUGGAAAAAUAUCAAAUAUGAUGGGACAUACUUCCGACAGAGAUCAGCUUCUUGGGUGCAGUCAACUUUUGCCAAAAUGACACGUCCGUCCAUUUCUGGAUCAUAUCUACGAAAAGCAAGAAAAUUAUAAGAAAAUAAUAGUACCACAGAUUCUUCAUCUAAAGAGAGUAUAUUGGCAUACCUCUCUUUUAUUUGUUUUGCUGCUUUCUCCCAUGAUGGUUUCUGGCAAUGUAGAAUAAAGUUUAGUCUUCGAGUAAGAUCAUCAAAAUUACCAGUGUAGUGUGCAUAAAGUGUUAACAAAACUACUUUUUGAUAUGCAGCAAAUUCUAGAAUAUGAAGACACGAAGACAAAAGAUGCGGGACUUACCAGGAGAUUACACCAAUAGCACCACGGAGCAUAGAAAUUAACAACGGAGAUAGGAUAUCUGCAAGUUAUAUGAUUCAUAUGUUGUCAUCAGAAGC
rnacentral:lncRNA from 1 species